rnacentral:lncRNA from 10 species
GUUUUUACACCUAUUUGAUCAUGCCCACCUGUAGCCAUGAUGUGGCCAAAUCAAAGUCAACAAUAGGCUGAGCUCCUGGAUCCAGCCGAGCCUAAAGCCAGUCGUCCUUCUGCAUUUUCCUACCUGACAAGGCCACAAACUCCCUGCGCGGUGCCGAAGAGAAUUUGGGGUUUGUUUCUCAUCACCUGCAACUUUAAAGAGCUGGCUGAUCCAGUGGUUCUCAGGCUUGAAGGUGCCCCAAGGUCACCUGGAGGCCUUGCCCAAGUACAGACUGCUGGGCCUCACACCCAGUGUUUCUGAUUUAGCAGAUCUGGGGAGAGGCCUGAGAGCUGGCCCUUCUAACAAGCCCUUAGGUGACGCUGAUACUGCUGGUCUGCGGAUGCUGAUACUGCUGGUCUGUGGAUGCUGUUACUGCUGGUCUGAGGAUGCUGAUACUGCUGGUCUGAGGAUGCUGACACUGCUGGUCUGAGGACCACACUUUGAGAAGCACUACAUUAAUUCUGCCUGUGCUCUGCGGCUGUGGUGAGAAUUCCAUGAGCCAGUGUAGAAGAUAUCUGUGGUCUAGAACAAAGUGCCACAAAUAUAGUGACUUAAAACGGCAAGCACUGAUCUCAGGAUACAUUUUCAUGGUCAAGCGUGGGGUUUCAGCUGGUGGCGGAGGUGUCAGCCAGGCAGUGCUCCUCUGAUUUCUCUUCCCAGCUCACAUGGCUGUUGGCUGGAAUUCAGUUCUUUGCAGCUGUAGGACUGAGGUCUCUGUAUUCUUGCUGGCUGUCAGCCAGGAGCUGUUCUCAGGUCUUAGGGGUGCCAACUCUCAUAGACCCUCUGAUGACAUGGAGGCUCCUUCAAGGCCAGCAGGGGUUUCUUCCAGUGCAGUCUGUGAAGAUGACAUCUCUGUGGGGUGCCAUGUAGCCAAGAGAGACAUCCCAAUGCCUGUGCCGUGUUCUGUUGACUGGAAGCAACUCAGAGGCUCUGCUUAUGCUAGAGGGUCAAGGUGAGGGGAUUGCACAAGGGUAGGACUCACUGGGGUCCAUCUUAGGACUCUGCUUGCCCCAGAGAGCACAUGUAACGUCUUUCGUGUACUGUUAGGGUAAUGUGUUAAUGCCAAGAAAUGAUAGGUGCUAUUAACAUUAAUUUGGAUGGUGAUGAAAUGAUUCUGAGGGUUUGGUAACAAGGAAAGUAGGGGGCACAGAGAGUGGAUGAGCAGCCUCCUCUUCAUGUGGGUGCACCUGUGGUGCAGGUGUGAAUGUCUCUGCUGGCAGACAAGGAACCAGAAGCUUCCAGAGCAGAGCAGGUGGCACCAUCGAUGGGAGAAUCAGAAGUGUGAGCGGAGUCAGCUGCCUAGACCAGCGAUAGAAUCCAAACCCAUGGGCUCAGAGCCAGGGGUGAGGCCAGGGUGCCCAGCGACACUGCAGGGCAAGAUGGUGUCACAAGGAAAAUAAACCAAACGGCAAAUUAAUCAAAUAACUCUUCAGCUGAGGCAAAGUGUGAAUGCUUGAGAAGAAAAAUGCAUGAGGUGGGAAGAAAAGAUGAACACGAAACAAUCUUCUAUUUUUCCAUUUCUGUGUAAGCAAGACCCCAGAAAUUAUUAAUCUUAUAACAAGCUGGGAAAGUUUCCGGUCUCCUGAGUGGUUUCUGAAGUCACAAGGAACUGAAGCAACCGACUCUAUUGUCUCUUCUCUGCCCUUCUUAGGCAGCAAUUUACUAAAAUACUGGGAAUUUAUUUCUCUCCCAGAGGAAUGAGUGGUUUAAAGUGUGUCUCCAGGUGCAGGCUCCUCUGGGGGAUACCCUUGAUUUUCAAAUGCAAGACGUGCAUUUGAUGGACCCCAGCAUUCAGAUGUGGCUUCUUCAGAAGUUGUGGUUUUCCCAGGGAAGCUGGUUUAGUUAUGUUCACACUGGCAGAUUAGAAAGUUCGCUCAUCUUAAUUCUUGAAAUUCUCAGUAUUUCAAAACUGGGUGGAGACUGUAGAAAGUGACCAAGAAUCUUACUAAUGAGCUGAUGCAAGAAAACCCUUCAGAGGGAGUUAGCUUUGGGGCCUUAGAAAAGUUUUGAUGCCCUCAGGUGUCCUGAGAGCAUUGAGAUUUCCAUCUGGAUGUUACUAUUAUUCAGUGUUGGGGGUGGGUGAAUAUGCAAUGACGAUGAUGCUCCACCUGCCUAUAUCUGUCCUUGUAUCCAUCAAUUCCUCUCAUCUCAUCUCAUCUCAUCUCAUCUGUCAUCUCUAUGACUUUUCACCCCAUAAAACAUUGUGUUACUAUAUAGGUCUUAGAAAUUUUCUCCUUUGUGGGGAGGUUUAUCUUUUUAACUAAUGCUGUUCAAAAAUUGCCACUUCUAGGCAAAAGGCUGUGCUCUGCUCAACAAAUUCACACCCAAUGAUGCUGUGAAUUUGCUUAAACUAUUCAGUCCUAUAAGUACAUGGUUUUUGCUUCUUUGAUAUACAUUGUAUUUUGCUUCAAAAUACUCAGUGCCA